GGUCAGUUUAGUUCUGGCUUCAAUUUUUUUAUAGGAAAAGUUAUUUAUAAAGGAAAAAUGAAAAUAAAAGGUUUAGAUAAUAAAAUUGGAAAGUUAAAUAAAAAGCUCCGGUUAUUUUUGAAAAUUUUAGCAAAUAUGGUGCCAGCGGCUGCGGUUAUACCAUAAAAGUAAAAAAAAUUUAGUUUUAAUUUUGAGACUUUAAAAUAAAAUUGGAUUGUUUUUAGAAAGGUAAAAUUUUGAAAGGCUGGAAAAUUUUGGGAGAUAGUUUGAGAAGUUCUAAAAUGAGACUAGGAUUAGAUACCCUAUUAUUAUUGAGAGCAAAUAAAUUAGGUAGUAGUAGAAGGCUUGAAACUUAAAGAAUUUGGCGGUGUUUUAAUCUAAUCAGAGGAACUUGUAUUUUAAUUCGAAAUUACUCGUUUAAUUUUACUUAGGUUUUGGUUUGUAUAUCGUCGUAAAAAUAAAGCUUUAAAGUAUAUAUUUUAGGUAGAAUUUCUUAAAAUUACAGAUCUAGGUUCAGCAAUACCUAAGCAUAAUGUGAGUUACAAUAUAUAAUUGAUAUAAUUACGGAAAAAAGGUUGGAAGACUUUUUAGAAGGUGGAUUUGAAAGUAGGUUGAGAUUAAAAAGUUUGAUUGAAUUAGCAAUAAGACAUGCACAUAUUGCCCGUCACUCUCUUUUUAUAAGAGAAAAGUCGUAACAUAGUAGAGGUAUUGGAAAAUGUCUCUAGAAGAUA
rnacentral:ncRNA from 1 species